rnacentral:rRNA from 1 species
UACAGAGGUCUCGAGCGUUGUUCGGAUUCAUUGGGCGUAAAGGGUGCGUAGGUGGCGCUGUAAGUCGGGUGUGAAAUCCUGAGGCUUAACCUCGGAACUGCAUUCGAUACUGCGGCGCUUGAGGACUGGAGAGGAGACUGGAAUUCAUGGUGUAGCAGUGAAAUGCGUAGAGAUCAUGAGGAAGACCAGUGGCGAAGGCGAGUCCCUGGACAACUCCUGACACUGAGGCACGAAAGCUAGGGGAGCAAACAGG